UACGUAGGCAGCAAGCGUUGUUCGGAGUUACUGGGCGUAAAGCGUGCGCAGGCGGUUUUGUAAGCCAGAUGUGAAAGCCCCGGGCUUAACCUGGGAAUGGCAUUUGGGACUGCAAGGCUAGAGUGCGGCAGAGGAGACUGGAAUUCCUGGUGUAGCAGUGAAAUGCGUAGAUAUCAGGAGGAAUACCGAUGGCGAAGGCAGGAUCUCCUGGGCUGACACGUGACGCUCAUGCACGAAGCGUGGGGAGCAAACAAGG
rnacentral:rRNA from 1 species